rnacentral:tRNA from 1 species
AAGAAAUUAGUUAAAAUAUAACAUUAAUUUGUCAAAUUAAAAUUAUUUAAUUAAAUAUUUCUUA